AAAACAGAUAUUAACGAUCUGUAUGAAUCAGCUAGGAGCACAAAACUGUUUUGUGAACAGUCACUUCCCACAGACCUUACAGUUGUUAGAAGAUAGUUAUUAACAAGAAGCAUCAUUGUGAAAUGUCCUGCUGCGGCAUCAGAUCCAUUUUAGACUGCUUCAAUCCACCGUUAACUCAAGUCUGCCAUUUAGUAAUGGCACCCGCUUUUUGAUGAAUGUUAAUUGUGAGACUGCAACCAGAUAAACCAAAAUACCCCUUUUCUUUGCUCUCUGUUCAUUUCAGACAGUAAGCGAAGGCAAGGGGAAGGACAGAAAACAAAUUACAGCAAAAACUUUCUAUUUAAAGCAGGAAGGAGGAAUGAUGCUACCUAAGGCUUUCACGAUAGUGGUACCAGAGGAUUCUGAGGGGCAGCAGAAGUAAUUUUCCCUUUCCUAGGGACUCUGUAUAAUAAGAGAGGACAAAAUGUGGCUGGGACAAUGUCUCUGCUCUUCUGAAGCCAGAACACCAGACCCAACCUGCUGCCAAGACUCACAAAGUCCAGGACGUAGUGACAUCCUGCUGUGCCCCUUUGCUGGAGCGAGAGAAGUGGCACAGGGGCCUGAGAGCACUAGCAGGCAGGGAUCCCCUGGCAGGCACACAGAGGAGGACAGCCUGGCCCAGCCAAGAAAGAUACCACCAAUACCCCAACAGUAACAGCUGCCAAUAAUUUUAAUAGCAUGCACAUUUAUGUAUGUGAUAUCAGAAUUCUUUAGGUUCCCUCCUGCAAAACCUGACCGCUGCAACUCCAAUCCUCCUGUGCAGUGAGCAAGGCAGGCGGUUCCAAGGGGAAAAAAAAAAAAAAAAAAAGGCAAGAUGAACAGGCACUGAGUAUUACAUAGCAGCAUUUUCAGCUCCUUGCAGGGCUGUUUUGAGAGAAAGGAAAUGGGAACCAAGAGGGAAAGC